rnacentral:rRNA from 1 species
UACGUAGGGUGCGAGCGUUGUCCGGAAUUAUUGGGCGUAAAGGGCGCGUAGGCGGCCUGGCAAGUGGAAGGUGAAAUCCCUCGGCUUAACCGAGGAACUGCCCUCCAAACUGCUUGGCUUGAGUCCGGGAGAGGUGAGUGGAAUUCCCAGUGUAGCGGUGAAAUGCGUAGAUAUUGGGAGGAACACCAGUGGCGAAGGCGGCUCACUGGACCGGAACUGACGCUGAGGCGCGAAAGCGUGGGGAGCAAACAGG